AUUGAACGCUGGCGGCAUGCCUUACACAUGCAAGUCGAACGGUAACGCGGGGCAACCUGGCGACGAGUGGCGAACGGGUGAGUAAUGUAUCGGAACGUGCCCAGUUGUGGGGGAUAACUGCUCGAAAGAGCAGCUAAUACCGCAUACGACCUGAGGGUGAAAGCGGGGGAUCGCAAGACCUCGCGCAAUUGGAGCGGCCGAUAUCAGAUUAGGUAGUUGGUGGGGUAAAGGCCCACCAAGCCAACGAUCUGUAGCUGGUCUGAGAGGACGACCAGCCACACUGGGACUGAGACACGGCCCAGACUCCUACGGGAGGCAGCAGUGGGGAAUUUUGGACAAUGGACGCAAGUCUGAUCCAGCCAUGCCGCGUGCGGGAAGAAGGCCUUCGGGUUGUAAACCGCUUUUGUCAGGGAAGAAAAGGGCGACUCUAAUACAGUUGCCUCAUGACGGUACCCGAAGAAUAAGCACCGGCUAACUACGUGCCAGCCGCCGCAGUAAGAC
rnacentral:rRNA from 1 species